AUUGAACGCUGGCGGCAUGCUUUACACAUGCAAGUCGAACGGCAGCGCGGGCUUCGGCCUGGCGGCGAGUGGCGAACGGGUGAGUAAUACAUCGGAACGUGCCCAGUAGUGGGGGAUAGCUCGGCGAAAGCCGGAUUAAUACCGCAUACGACCUGAGGGUGAAAGCGGGGGAUCUUCGGACCUCGCGCUAUUGGAGCGGCCGAUGGCAGAUUAGCUAGUUGGUGGGGUAAAGGCCUACCAAGGCGACGAUCUGUAGCUGGUCUGAGAGGACGACCAGCCACACUGGGACUGAGAAACGGCCCAGACUCCAACGGGAGGCAGCAGUGGGGAAUUUGGGACAAUGGGCGAAAGCCUGAUCCAGCAAUGCCGCGUGUGUGAUGAAGGCCUGCGGGUUGUAAAGCACUUUUGGCGGGAACGAAAAGGACUGUGCCAAUACCACGGUUCGAUGACGGUACCCGCAGAAUAAGCACCGGCUAACUACGU
rnacentral:rRNA from 1 species